rnacentral:lncRNA from 1 species
AAAUAAACCAAAUCGGAAAUCUUUGCCUAAUCUUCAUUCACGGGAGUCCAUUUCUGCUAAAACCGAAGGAAAGUCUAGCAAGUUGAAACAGAGGGAAACAGUAGCAAAAGGUGAAGAUAUGAAAGCUACCGCAGAUAAAGAGCAAGCAAGCAAAACCGAGUCUGUAAACCCUCCUGAACUUGAGGAUGUAAAACUCGAGAAGAAUCCUCCCGGGAACACUGAAUUGCUUGCUAAUUCGGCCCAUCCUUUUGUGCCGGAAACUGAAGUAACUCUGAAUGGGGGGUGAUCCAGACAUUUGAACUGCUUACCUUGCUUCUGGAGGCUAAUAACAUAAUUUUGAUUAUUUAAAAGUUGUACCUAAUUCUUAAUAGUUCCCCAUUUUCUUAUGGUUAAUUUAUCUUGUGCAUAUACAAUUUGUGUUUCUUUGUAAAGUUAUGUAUAAAUAUGAAUUGUGGCGGCUACAUUGUAUAAUAUGUUAAUAUUGCUUGAUGUCUAUUCUUCGAAGUCCUCUGAUCGUCUCUUUCUUGUGAUUCUCAAGCUCGCUUUCUUUAUUCUUUUCAUCUCUUUCUAUUUCCGUUUGUAUUUUUUAGGCAAGGAGAAUGAUAAUGUAAUCCGAAGAAUAUGUUUAUAUAAUUAUAAAAUUAUCACUAAUUUAUACUCCUAUUUACUCAUAUAAUCUAUUCAAGUACAUAGAAGCAUUUUUCUCUAAACCAAAUCCUGACAGGAAAAGAGACUAUAUAAACUAAAUGUAAACCGGGAAUUACCCAAUGUUAUCCGAAGAUUCAUUAGAUAUUGUUAAAAUGCUUAUAUAAACUUAUGUAUUGUAUUUUCAAUUAAGUCAGCAACCAUGCAUGUAUACAUCAAAACUAGACAGUAAGUUGGCUCAUCAAUUCAUCAUUUUUAUUUGACCAAUAUUACCAUACUUGUUCUCACUCUCUAGCAGUUAGGUCAUGAGCAACUCAUUUUUAUCAAAUGCUCAUGAAAUUUAUAAUUUCACUACUACAACUAUUUAAAUCCGAGUUGUGCAUACCAUGGACUUAUCAGACUCUUAAAAUGCAUAUGUUUAUGAUGAGAUAUCAGAGAGAAUUAAUAUACAUACUAGCUAUAAAAAUUGGAAAUAUCAAACACAAUCGACCACCGAACUGAAGAGGGAUCACCGUACCAGCUUGCCAAGCAUUUGAUUUUGCUGGAAUAGCAAGUCUAUAGCACGAGCCAAUGAUAAGAUUAUUGGUUUCAAGACUAAUGAUUUGAAGAAUUUAGUUUAGAAAUUUGAUAGAUAAGAUAAAUUAGUUUUGAGUAAUAUGCUCUCCUUACUUCAGCAGUUUAAUUACCUUCUAAAUUAGCCCGAUUCAUAUGUUUGCUUUUUGUGUCUUGUACUCAAAGAUCAUACUGAUUUAUAAAGUAUGAUAUUGACUAUCCAUUUCGUUUAUUUCUUUUAGUUGAUUGGACUGCUUAAUCUUAAGUCAAAAAAAUAAUCAGUUAAAUCAUUUUUUUAUAUUAAAAUUUUAUUGCAUACUACGAACAUGUCCCAUAUGUGUUCAACCACCACCCCGAACCUGUUUUAAGAUGCCUUUUCACUGUGUUUUUUAAUUUCACAUGGCUUGUAAAAGAAAUAAAAAAAAUAAAAAUUUAAAACUACGUCUUUCAAAUGUAAUAUGAAACUACGAUUUUACGCUUCAUUAUCGGUUAUAAUAAUCACUGGUAAAAUUUGAUUUCUUGAGUAGGUCAAAAUAGGUAUUUAGUAUUGAUUUCUGCAUAAUAUAUGAACGAGACCCUAAAAGUUCAAACGUUGCCUCAGUUAAUUAUACCGAAAAGUUUUCCAAUAAUUUAUCCUGAAAAAGUUUUCUAGAUUAUUUUUUAAAAAAUUUCAAAGAAUAUUUUCUGGAAUAUUGUUUUCGAGAAAAAUUCUAAAGAACAUUUUUCUUGAAAAAUGUUCACCGGAAAAUUUCCAUAUACAAUGAAAAAUGUGUACAGUCUGCAAGCAGUUGCCUCAUGACUGACGUAUUUAUAUUUAACUCAAAACAAAUUAUCAAUUUAUUAUAAGCGAUACGAUCUAAUAUUCUCAAAAUGCAUGUAAUUGUUUAUUUCAUUUCAUUAUAUUGAUAGUAGAGGAAAAUUGUAUGUAGCCCACUAAAUUAUGAUAUGUUGUUUUCUAGUUCAUUCAAGAACGCUACUAGUAAAUCAGAUUUGCCGGUGCCGGGGGUGCAAGAAGCCCCUGAGGCGCACAUGGUCUCAAAAUUUGGAAUGCCUCAAAUUUCGAGGUCCAUAAUAUUUAUAUACAUAUAUAAUUAAUUUUAUUUUUUAUUGUAUGUUACUUAGAAUUUCUUAUUUAUAUAUUUUUUUAUAGUUAGUCGAUUAUCAUUAAUAUUAUUAUUGUUAUAUAUAAACUGAUAUUAUAUAUUCUAUUGUUAGUAUUAAUUAAUAUUUAUUAAAUUAUUUUUUGAGAUUUUUUUAUUGAUUUGCUAAAUAUUUUUAGAGAAUAAUUAAUAUAUAAUUUUUAUUCUUGUCACAUAUUAUAUAUUAUAAAUAUUAUUUAUUUUUUUUGUUAGAUAAAUCAAUUUAGUUAACGAAAAUAUAAAUAUGCUACUCAGACGAUGGAUGUUUUAUUAGAUGUUUUCUUUGUUUCAAACUUCAAAUUAAUUUAAAAUAAAAUAAAAGGGUGAUAUUCAUUUUUUUUAUUAAAAAACCCACAAUUAAAUUUAGCACAGAGCCUCUUUUUUGAUUGAGCCGGGAAUCUUUAUAUAUUUAUCAUAAAUUCUCGUAUUUGGUUUCUUUGUCCUUCACAUUUUCUACUACCCUUUCUUCUUCCUUUGAGCUUCUUAAUUCAUUGAAGAUAUCCGUCAAAGUGUUUCGCUAUAGGAGCUAAAUAACAAUUGACACAGAUGCAUUUCGAGUAAAUUUAUCCCUCGUUCUUUUUGUAUAUUAGAGAGAUUUUUGCUUGAGAGUGCUUGGCAGAUUCAACAGAAAUGAGCAGCCGAGUAAAUAAUUGUGCACAUACUCAGCACACAUCUGCGGUGUACCUGAUGCAUGAAAAGCGUCCGGCACAACAACUUUUUAACAUCAUCGUUUUGGCAUUAAGGAGACGUCACAGGUGUCUGUCUAUAUUUACGGUUAAAAUGGGACGCUGAAAACUAAAUAGUCGUCCAUCAAACAAGUGUCGCUUUUCAAGAUAACUGACCCUUAAGUUCUACUCCCUCCGUCCCCCUCAGUAUUAUAUAUUGGGGAACGAGGACGCGGCAUGAACUUUCAUGGUGGUGCAAUCUAUUUUUUUUCUCAAUUAAAAUUUGGAUGUUAUAUUUUUAUACAGGAAAAAAAAUCUCAAAAAUAAAUUACGAAACUAUAUUUUAUAAGAAUAUUGAAAUGUGUGUCAGGAAAAAAAACAUAUAAAAUUAAAUGGGAGAAGGAGUACGAAACUUCCCCUACUUACCAUCAAUUCAUCACAUAUAGAGUAUGUGUUUUAGUUUAAAGUCAUACAUAGUUGCUCAUGAGUAAAGUAUUUAUAAUAACCCUGUUGAAUAUUCAGUUCCACUUUUAAAUUUGUUAUAUGAAAUAAUCAAUUGAAAUGAUAUUAGACUCAUUCUAAGAUUUUAAAAUGGCAUGUAACGUUUUAUUUCAUUCCAUAUAUUUAGAUAUCGGAGGAAACUUUACCACGUAAAGCUGUAUUGCGGUUCCAGAUGACUCGAUCGAUUAAAAGACAGUUACCCGUUUCUUGUCUUGAUUGAAUCAUGUCUCUAGGCUUAUAAAAAUUAUUUCAAACAAUUAUUAAGAUUAUUGUUAGACCUAUAAGAAUUUUUAACUAGCAUCGCACAUGAAAUUUAUCAUAGACUUCUAAAACGAUUAUAAAUUAAAAUUUUAAAUUUUACUAAAAUAAAUAUUUUACCAAUCAAUUACGAAAUAUUUUUUUCAUUUUAUUUAGAAAUCAUAAACAACAUAAUGAUUUUACUACAAUAAGUAUAUCAUUUUAAAUUCAUAUUAUAACAUGUAUUUGAGAAUAAUUUUUUCAGAAAAAGAUCAAAAAAAAAAAGAUCAAUGAGUAAACUUGCAACUUUACACCAAUUUAUAAAAAGUUGAAAUAUUAUUCUAUCCAAAUUUAAUUUUUCUGUAAAAUUUAAAUUAUUUAAAGAAAAUAAAUGUCUUAGUCAGCAACCAUGCAUUUAUACACAUGAAAAUUACACAGUAAUUAGUUGGCUCAUCAUUUUUUAUUUGACCAAUAUUAGCUUGUUCUCACUCUCAAGUAGCAGUUGGGUCAUGAGCAACUCAUUUUUUAUCGAAUGCUAAAGAAAUUCAUAAUUGCACUACUACAACUAUUUAAAUCCGAGUUGUGCAUAUAUACCAUGACUCUUAAAAUGCAUAUGCAGUUGUUUAUGUUGAGAUAUCAGAGAGAAUUAAUAUACAUACCAUCUAUGAAAACUGGAAAUAUCAAGCACAAUCGACCGACUAUGUCAUUGGAUAUGACUUGAAGAACUUAGUUUAGAUAUUUGAUAAAUAAAUUACGUUCGAAAUUAGCUUUUUACGAUUGUUAAGUUGAAUAGCAAUAUAUCUAUUAUUUUAUUUAAGAGGAUAUCAAUGAGCUGAUUCUUCUUGUGUCUAGUAGCUUGAUGCUCAAAGAUCAUACUGAUUUAUAAAGUAUGAUAUUGACUAUCCAUUUCGUUUAUUUCUGAUUGGACUGCUUAAUCUUAAGUCAAAAAAAUAAUCAGUUAAAUCAUUUUUUUAUAUUAAAGUUUUAUAGCAUACUACGAACAUGUCCCAUAUGUGUUCAACCACCUCCCCGAACCUGUUUUAAGAUGCCUUUUCACUGUGUUUUUUAAUUUCACAUGGCUUGUAAAAGAAAUAAAAAAAAAAUAAUUUAAAACUACGUCUUUCAAAUGUAAUAUGAAAUUACGAUUUUACGCUUCAUUAUCGGUUAUAAUAAUCACUGGUAAAAUUUUAUUUCUUGAGUAGGUCAAAAUAGGUAUUUAGUAUCGAUUUCUGCAUAAUAUAUGAACGAGACCCUAAAAAUUCAAAUGUUGCCUCAGUUAAAUAUACCAAAAGUUUUCCAAUAAGUUAUCCGGAAAAAGUUUUCUAGAUUAUUUUUCAAAAAAUUUCAAAGAAUAUUUUCUGGAAUACUUUUUUCGAGGAAAAAUGUUCACCAGAAAAUUUUCAAAUACAAUGAAAAAUGUCUACACUUUGCAAGCAGUUGCUUCAUGACUGACGUAUUUAUAUUUUAACUCAAAAUAAAUAAUCAAUUUAUAAACCAAAUUUAAAAGCGAUACGAUCUAACAUUCUCAAAAUGCAUGCAAUUGUUUAUUUCAUUUCAUUAUAUUGAUAGUAGAGGAAAAUUGUAUGUAGUCCACUAAAUUAUGAUCUGUUGUUUCUAGUCCAUUCAAGGCUACGCUACUGGUAAAUCUUUAUCAGUAGCAAUCAAGAGCUAGCAAUCAAGAGCUAAGUAACAAUUAACACAGAUGCAUUUAGAGUAAAUUUAUUCCUCGUUCUUUUUGUAUAUAGGAGAGAUUUUUGCUUGAGAGUGCUUGGCAGAUUCAACAGAAAUGAGCAGCCGAGUAAAAAUAAUUGUGCACAUACACACAUCUGCCGACUGCGGUGUACCUGAUGCAUGAAAAGUACACAGUGAGUUGGUUCAUCAAUAAUCAUUUCCUAUUAUGACCAAUACUACAAUACUUGUUCUUACUCUCAAGUAGCAGUUGGGUCAUGAGCAACUCAAGAAAUUUAUAAUUUCACUAGUAUAUCUAUUUAAAUCCGAGUUGAGCCAUCGGACUCUUAAAAUGCAUAUGCAGCUGUUUAUGUUGAGAUAUCAGAGAGAAUUAAUAUACAUACUAGCUACGGAAAUUAUAAUAUCAAGCAAUGUGAUCGUUCUUAUAUUUGAAUUUUGUUCCCGGAGAAAGUCGAAGCUAGACGAUAUUGGACCAUUGGCCUUGUAUUCUUUCUAGCUCUUUGCAUUAUAUUUUGAUGGAGAGUCAACCUUCACAAAACUUUACUACUAUUGUCCUUUACCCUUCAUCCCUUUCCCUUUUCAUCUAUCUACCAUUCCAAAUAGCUUGUAGCUGAAGUUAACUAACAGGGAAUUGCUAUGAAGAUUUCAAUGGCCAGUUGCUCUUUCUGUCCGUCUAGAAAGUGGUAGUAAAUAUCUUAAAUGCUUACCACUUCGAGACCUUUUAAUGGAAUUGGCAUGCUUUAUUUACUUAUUUUUGACCACACUACAAACAAUGGCUUUCUGCAGUUGCUUUUGUUUUUGUUAAAAUGGCCUUGAUGUCACUCCAUUGUCUUCACAUACAUCGUCUUCACAUACAUCACCAGGUACAAUGGUAUAGUUACUUUUUGUUCUACAACACCAUUCUAAAAGCUCAAUGAAAAAUUGUGCUCGCUGAUGUAGUACUUCACAUACAUCACCAGGUACACUGUUAUAGUUAUUUUUUUUUUCUACAACACCAUCCUAGAAGCCAUUAACUGAAAUAUAUAGGGGGUGUUUGGAAGUUAGAGGUUUGGAGUAAAAUUAGAAGUUUGGGGUGUUUUAGAGGUUUGACCAUUUCAAUCCGCUAAUGUUAGUGUUUGGUAGUUAGCGGAUUGAAAUAGAGGUUUGGGCUCAAAAAGCUAAUUUUCAAAAAGCUAGUUUGAGGAGCUUUUUGGGUUAGCGGUUUGGGUAUGUGUCACAAAAAGCUUAUCAAAUAGCUAUUUACCAAACAAUUUUACAAGAAACCGCUAAUUUAAUCCGCUAGUCAAAACAUCUAUUUAAAUCAGCUAGUCAAAACAUCUAAUCCAAUCCGCUAACAGCUAACCGUUAAUUCCCAAACAGGGCUAUAAGGAGAUUCUAGGUACUCGUGUUUUUUAUGUAUUAAAAAACUGAAAUGCUUAGACUGUUAGGGACGGUGCCAGUAUGGACGAUUGUACAAUGACCAACAUGCAUGGUCUGUCAAUGUUAUGAAAUAAAUCGAUCUUAUUGUCUAUAAUUCAGUUCCUUUUUGCUGGACACACAACAACCUUUAGAUCAAUCAUCAAUAUGUUUUUUGCCUUCAAUUUAUUUACUUUCAACUUGCACUUCCUCAUACACAAAAUUUCUUUUGGUGUGUUUAUCGUAACAGAUGCCAACCACGUGUGCAAGAUCCCCAAAGCUUGGAAGAAGAAAAAGUUAUAGUGGUACACGCAACUCCUUAGAAGGUGCAUCAGGUCAUGUAAGCAGAGAACACAAAACUUCAACCAAAAGUAUGCAGGUGAAAUAUGAAAACAAUAAUGUUUUCAAAAAUAAACCAAAUCGGAAAUCUUUGCCUAAUCUUCACUCACGAGAGUCCAUUUCUGCUAAAACCGAAGGAAAGUCUAGCAAGUUGAAACAAAGGGAAACAGCAAAUGGUGAAGAUAUCAAAGCUACCACAGAUAAAGAGCAAGAAAGCAAAACCGAGUCUGUAAACCCUCCUGAACUUGAGGAUGUAAAAGUCGAGAAGAAUCCUACCGGGAACACUGAAUUGCUUGCUAAUUCGGCCCAUCCUUUUGUGGCGGAAAAUGAAGUAACUCUGAAUGGGGGUGAGGGUGAUCCAGACAUCUGAACUGCUUACCUUGCUUCUGGAGGCUAAUAACAUAAUUGUAAUUAUUUAAAAGUUGUACCUAAUUAUCUUAAUAGUUCCCCAUCUUCUCAUGGUUCACUUAUCUUGUGCAUAUAUAAUAUGUGUUUCAUUGUAAAGUUGUAUAUAAAUUUGAACUGCGGCGGCUGCAUUGAUAUGUUGAUAUGUUAAUAUUGCUUGAUGUCUAUUCUUUGAAGUCCCCUGAUCGUCUCUUUCUUUUGAUUCUCAAGCUCGGUUUCUUUAUUCUUUUUCAUCUCUUAUUUCCAUUUGUUUUUUGAGGCUUCUUAGUCCAGUGAACAGUGAAGGAGGGAAAAUGUUAGGUACCCCAGGAACUAUUGUCAAAUUUUUUCCCCCAAAUUUGUAUGUAUGUAAGAGCAUCUCCAAGAGACUCUUCAUUUAGGCUCCUAACUUGAGAUUUGAGGAGGGAGAAGAAAAAUGUUGCUUCAAGAGACUCUUAAGUGGCUCUUAAAUCACUAAGAGCCUCUUGUUUCUCUCUCCUCUCUCCUCAAAGUUAAGAGCCACCACAUGGCUCCUAACUUAUUUUUUGACAAUAAAAAAAUCCUUCCCUCCAAUUCACCUCCAUCUCUUUUCCUCUCUUUUGUUAUAGUGGAGCCCAAUAUAUGAAUAAAAUAUGAAAUAAAAAAAAGAUGUAGAGAGUAUUGUUGGAGUUUACACUCUUAACUUUGUCCUAAAUUACUAAGAGCCACAUUUUUUAUAUUAUAUUUAGGAGCCAACGAAGAGGCUCUUGGAGAUGCUAACCACCUAAUUAAAGCUAGUCAUUUUUCUGUCACGUCAUUCAUCCGUCAAGUGAUUCAGUUUGAAGGCUGGUUAGAAUAUGCAGAACCUUUCCCAAAUUUACCAUCAAUUCAUCACAAAUAUGUGUUCGAUUUGAAGGCGUUGGUUCAUGAGUAAAGUAUCUAUAAUAACGUAUAUAAAUUAAUUAAUUGAAAUGAUAUUAGACAUUCUAAGAUUUUAAAAUGAUAGGUAACUAUUCAUUCCAUAUAUAUUUAGAUAUAGGAGGAAACUUUACCGAGCCAAGAGCAGCUCGAACAUGAGGCAUUUGUUAGCUGAAAUUGUCAUGUGGCACCCAUUAUACAAAUCCUUUAAAAUUUUAAGCACUCCAAGAGUACCUUUCUAUUAGCUAAAAUGUUAGCUACAAAGAUUUCAUCCUUCAAAUUUGCUGAUUCUCUCUCCAUCAUCCCUAUGAGUUCCACCUCUGUCUCUUUUCGCUGCUACUAUAUUAAAUAUUUAUGUAUGAUUAUUUUUAUAUAAUAUACAGUGUAAAAUCAUUAUAAAAAAUGUAAAUAUUUUCAUUGUUAACAAAUUUACUUAUUACUUAUACAAUUAUUUUGUAUUAGAUUAUACAUUCAAACUACUAAUAAAUUAAUAUAAGAGGUAAUUGCAUAUCGCACUCCCUAAGUUUCGUUAAAAAACGAUAGUGUACCCAUACUUUGAGAAACUCAACUCGCACCCCCUAACUUUACGUUUCCAAAACGAUACGCACCACUUCCGUUAACUCAUUGCAACUGCCGUUAAAUUCCCGUUAAAGUGACAUGUAUAUCACUUUAAAACAGCCUACCCUGCUUGCAAUGCAUUUCUCUAAACAAUCUGUAGCAACACUAAACAACUGCAGCACCAACAGCACUAAACAAAUCACCAACACCAAAUUAAAACAAAACCCACAAAAUAAUCUCUGCUAGUUUCCACUACAAAUAUAAAAUGGCUUAACUAAAAGUAGUAGCAAUGCUAUGAUGCAAUGCAUCUUAAUAUUGCAUAUGGCAUUCAAAAAUUUCCCUAUGCAUUUUUGGCCUCUUCCUAAACACUACUCUAAAAAAACAUAUCAUGGGGCAUAGAUUUUGCCUGCUAACUGAAAUAAUUUAAAUACAACAUACCUAAUGCUUAAGGUGAACAAAUACCAGAACAAUCCAAAUAUCAUAGCUUGAAAUACGAGACAACUCACCUAACUUAAAUCCAAUAUACUGAUUCAAUAUCGAUUAUAUGCCUUUCCAAACUCUUCAUGCCUCUGUCGUGGAUAGUCACCAUAAGUAUCGUGGGACCUUGAAGGAGGGAAAGUUUCUACAGAGUUUUGGUACCUGCCUCUAGAUUCUGGUGCUAAAUUCCCUCCAUAAUAUGCACUGAUGACGAAAGGGUGGAAAGAGGAGUGUGUAGAGAGUCUAGAGACAAAUGCGUGCAACUCGAGCUGUAGACAAGUGUAAAGCGUGUGAAAAGACUAAAUUGCCCUUGCUUUUUUAAUGUUAACGUUAGUUUAUGUGACGAGUUAACGGAAGGGGUGCGUAUCGUUUUUUGAAACGUAAAGUUAAGGGAUGCGAGUUGAGUUUCCUAAAGUAUGAGUACAAUAUCAUUUUUGAACGAAACUUAAGGGGUGCGAUAUGCAAUUACCUCUUAAUAUAAUAAAAAAAAUAAUGUUUCUAGUUUUAAGAAUUAUCUUAUUUCUAAAACAUCUAAAUAAAAUUUCGGAAUGAAAUUGAUUUUAAAUAAUUAUAUAUUUUUAAUUAUAAGAUAAAAUUUUAAUUAAUUAAAAUAACAUAUAUUCUUGUAUGAAAAAAUUCAUUUGAUUAAAUUCAAAAAAUAAUUUAUUUAUGAAUUUUAUUUACAAUACAUAACUACUAUGUGAAAUUUAGUCAUUAAAAUUUGAAAAUAGUAAAAUAAUAAUAUCAUUUAAAUUAAUGAGAAUAAAAUAUACUCUAUAUUUAUAUAAAAUAUUUAUCUAAUUGAAUUUAUAGGAAAGUUAUUUAUGAAACUUAUUCACAAUAAGUAAUUAUUAUUUGAAAAAUAUAACUGCUAGAAUUUGAAAACAAAAAAAUAACAUAAUUAUAAAAUAUAACUAACAAUCGUAGCGGAUAUCGUUAGAAGAAAAACUUACAGCAAAUUUUUACCUAAUCAUCUGUAUUUACACUUUUAGCUAACAAUUAUAGUUAUCUCCCUUCAAUAUACGUUGGAUUGUUAUACUCGAUAUGAACCAAUUAAAAUAUUUAGAAAAAAUUAUUAUGUUUGAAGGACUGUUUGGCUUAGAUUAAAAUACGUGAUUUAUUGUUUGAAAUAAAGAAAAAAUUAUAAAUGAUAAGUGAACUUGAUUUAUAAGUUAAUUAAAAGUGUUUGAAUAAUUUUAAUUAUAAGUCAACUGAGUGUUUGAUAAUUUAAAUUUAUAAAUUGAAAAAAUUGAAAUUAUUAAUAUACAUGAAACUUUAUUAAUAAAUAAACUUAUUACACAGUAAAAUUUUAAAAUCUUCAUAAUAAAAUGCAAAUCGCUAAAAAAGUUUUAAAAAACCAGAUUUCCGACUUCCAACUUCAGGCUUCAAAAAUUCAAAAGAAGCACUCCUAUUUUUUUUUUCCAUACAUUCCGCAAGAAGUACUCCCUCCGUCCCCUUUUACAUGUCCAUUUUCAAAAUAUUUUUUGUCCCUAUUUACAUGUCCAUUUAUACUUUCAAAACUAAUUUAAUGAUAGUUUUUCAAAUAUAUCUCCAUAAUUUUAAUUUUCAAGGCUUGACUUAUUUAAAACUUGGUUGAAUACAUGUUUUCAAGAGAUAAAGUAGGGGUAUUCCCUCAUUUUCAGACAUUAAUUAGAGAUAUUUAAUAAAAAAGUUUAUACAAUCAAUUAUUUCUAGGAUAAUUAAUUCAUUAGUCCCUCAACUAUAGGCCAUUUAUGGUUUAGGUCCCUGAACUAAAAAGUCUAAUAAAUAAAUCCUUUAACUUUCAAAAAAUCUGAUUCGCGUCCCUCAGUCAGAAUUUGACUAACGGAUGUUAGUCAAUGCUGACGUGGAAAUCGAAAAUAAAAAUAAAAAUGACCAGGAAAAUGACGUGGCAAGCAAAAUUCACGGAUUGAAGUGAAAUUUUGAUAUGUUAAUUUACGAGUAAUUUCAAGAACAUCGCUGGUGAAACUUUUCGAUUUUGAAUUCACUAACGUACAGAAAUCUACCCGUUAAUCUCAAGAACAGGAAAAAAACACUUACGAAAAUCUGCAUAUUUCUAUACGUUAGUGAACUCAAAAUCGAAAACUUUCACCACCGAUGUUCUUGAAAUUACUCAUACAUUAACAUAUCAAAAUUUCACUUCAAUCCGUAAAUUUUGUUUGCCAAGUCAUUUUCAAGGUCAUUCUUAUUUUUAUUUUCGAUUUCCACAUCAGCAUUGACUAACAUCCGUUAGUCAAAUUCUGACGGAAGGAUGCGAAUCAGAUUUUUGAAAAGUUAAAGGACUUAUUUAUUGAAUUUUUUAGUUCAGGGACCUAAGUCAUAAACGGCCUAUAGUUGAGGGACUGAUGAAUUAAUUAUCCCAUUAUUUCUUGGUAUGUGUUUUUUGUCCACUUCUCGAGGAUGUAAAACUCGAGAAGAAUCCUAC